CGCCCUGGUCUCCUCCCAGUCCUUCAGAUUCCGGGGAUGCUGUUUUACUUGCCAGCCCGGGACUGAGAGGGCGAAGGAAAGAAACAGGAGAGAAUGUUGAGAACGUGGAAGAGCCAAGGGACAAGGCGGGCUGCUGGGCCGCCGGCUUGAGCCGGGACGGGACGGUGCGGCGAGAGUGACAGCGCAGGGCUGGACCCGGGACCCGGCCCUCGGUCCGCAGCCUCCCCCAGGCUGCCCGCUCUGCGCGGUUACUCGAUCCAGACCUGUUUGCACUCAUUAGAGCUGGUUUGUUUAGAUUCCACACUUCGGGGAAAGUGAGGGCGCACUCAACUGAUGGCGUGAGAACUACCGUGCCUUUGUUAUUGUUUAUGCUGAGAUGAAGUGCGCUUUAUCUCCUGUUCUUUAUUAGAGUUUGUAUAGUUUAAAUGACUGCCUAAUGCCUACCAUGGUCACCCUUCCCUUUUCAUCAAGUCCCUUACCCUGAUACAUGCCAUCCAUAAGGAUUUACACCUGAGAACAGCUGCAGCUGACUUAGUAGUCCUUCUUGCCUCGAACAAAGAAUUGAGUGAGACAAGCGAAAAAAGCAAACAAAGUUUAUGUGAAAAGCAAGGAGGGAAGAGAUGCAAAGCAUUUCAAGGCAGGCAGCGAACCACUGAGCUAAAUUCCUGGCCUUUAGAUGCAAAGUGAUUCAAAGCAGAAGAAGCACUAUUUCUCUCUUUCAGGGUACAGAGGCCCACGUGGAAGGAUUGAAGGAUGACCGAAAGAGCUAAGGAGCAGUGAUACCUGGAAAACUGAUAACAUGUUAAUAGGUACGUUGGUCCUGCAACUGUAAGGGAGUGAAUUCUGCCAGUCACAAGAGUGAGCCUGGAAGACGACCUGAAAUUCCAGAGGAAACACAGCCUGUGACUCCUUUAUUUGAUUUCGUGACACCUUGUGCGUAGAGCUCACCUGAGACUGACUGAACUUUGUAUAUAUAGAGACUCUGAGAUAAUGAAUGGAUGUUUAUAGCUCCCAUGUUUGUAGGAAAGAAAACAAAUACCGAUUUUGAUAUCAUAGGUACUACCUUAACAAACCCUUAAAAAAAGUUUUGUUUUUUGUUUUUUUGAACUCCGGUCCUUGUGCUUGCAAGGCAGGCCACCAAACUGCUGAGCUAAAUCCCCAGCCCCCCAAAAAAGGUUUUUUAAUCUGGUGGAAAACUAAUUCUAUUAGAAUUGAGAGUAUUGAAAAAGACCCAGAUUGCUUUGAAAUGACUGAGAAAUGCAAGCACUAAAAAUGUUGUUGGUGAGGGCUCAGCAGGAAGUGAGGAAAUGGUACUGGACUGGAGGAAGGAAGGUCCUUGUCAUGUAGAAGCAGGAUGCAGAGGAAAAUUGUUUCUGCAGUUAUUUAGAAAGCAGAUUUUAUAAAUGAUGAACUUGACUGCUGAGGAAAUUUCUAAGCAAAGUAUUGAAGAAGGCUAGCUUUUUCUUUUUUGCUUAUAAUAUAAUUUGAGUAGAGGCAUGAAUUGAAAAAAAAUUCAUAGGAAAAUGGAUACAUAUUGAGGAUAUACUCCUAAGUGAAAUAAAUAAGUCACACAUGUGUAAUUACCGAAUAGUUUCUCUGGUUUGAAUAGACUAUAAUAGUACAUAAGAUCCUAAUGAUAUAAUGGACAAUGUAAAAUAGUAAGAAAGGGGUUAAAGGUGUAGGGAAAGUGGGAAGGGUAGGGGAAAGCUAAUAAGGGAAAGAAAAAAAUAGGAGAAAAUGAAAAAAUGGAAAUGAAGUGUUUGUAAAGGGGGAGGGCAAGAGUGGGUGAAGGGAGGGCAGGGACAAGGGGAAAAGAUGAGAACCAAGACCUGUCAUGUAAAGGCACAGGAUCCCAAUAAUGAAUGUAACUGUACUGUAUACCUAAAAUGUACCAAUAAACUCAACGAGGAAA
rnacentral:lncRNA from 1 species